rnacentral:rRNA from 1 species
AGAGUUUGAUCCUGGCUCAGAUUGAACGCUGGCGGCAUGCCUUACACAUGCAAGUCGAACGGUAACAGGUCUUCGGAUGCUGACGAGUGGCGAACGGGUGAGUAACACAUCGGAACGUGCCCGAUCGUGGGGGAUAACGGAGCGAAAGCUUUGCUAAUACCGCAUACGAUCUACGGAUGAAAGCAGGGGACCCUUGGGCCUUGCGCGGACGGAGCGGCCGAUGGCAGAUUAGGUAGUUGGUGGGAUAAAAGCUUACCAAGCCGACGAUCUGUAGCUGGUCUGAGAGGACGACCAGCCACACUGGGACUGAGACACGGCCCAGACUCCUACGGGAGGCAGCAGUGGGGAAUUUUGGACAAUGGGCGCAAGCCUGAUCCAGCCAUGCCGCGUGCAGGAUGAAGGCCUUCGGGUUGUAAACUGCUUUUGUACGGAACGAAAAGACUCCUUCAAAUAAAGGGGGUUCAUGACGGUACCGUAAGAAUAAGCACCGGCUAACUACGUGCCAGCAGCCGCGGUAAUACGUAGGGUGCAAGCGUUAAUCGGAAUUACUGGGCGUAAAGCGUGCGCAGGCGGUUAUAUAAGACAGAUGUGAAAUCCCCGGGCUCAACCUGGGAACUGCAUUUGUGACUGUAUAGCUGGAGUAGGCAGAGGGGAUGGAAUUCCGCGUGUAGCAGUGAAAUGCGUAAGAUGUGGAGGAAUACCGAUGGCGAAAGGCAGCCCCCUG